GAGAGUGGGUUAGUCCGCAACGAGCGCACCCUGUCCUAUGUUGCCAGCAAGUAAUGUUGGGGACUCAUGGGAGACUGCCGGUGAUAAACCGGAGGAAGGUGGGGAUGACGUCAAGUCAUCAUGCCCCUUAUGUCCAGGGNCUGCACGCAUGCUACAAUGGCAAGUACAACGAGUCGCAAUAUCGCAAGGUGGAGCAAAUCUCUUAAAGCUUGUCUCAGUUCGGAUAGGAGUCUGCAACUCGACUCCUUGAAGUUGGAGUCGCUAGUAAUCGCAAAUCAGCAAAGUUGCGGUGAAUACGUUCUCGGGGUUUGUACACACCGCCCGUCAAGUCACGGAAGUCGGCAAUACCCGAAGCCUGUGGUCCAACCCUUUUGGGAGGAAGCAGUCGAAGGUAGGGUCGGUAACUGGGACUAAGUCGUAACAAGGUAGCCGUACGGGAACGUGCGGCUGGAUCACCUCCUUUCU
rnacentral:rRNA from 1 species